AUGUGUCCUUGUGCUGUUUUCGUGGGAGUAGCUCUGUAGUAAGAGAACUGCUCCUGGUCACUGACAAUGGGGAGCAGAGUGGUGGCUCUCGGUACUAGCACACAGUGGGGGGCCUUCUCUUCCUCCGCAGGUUCACCCUGAGAAUGAAGACUGGACCUGUUUUGAACAGUCUGCAAGUUUAGAUAUUAAAUCUUUCUUUGGUUUUGAAAGUACAGUGGGGAAAAUUGCAAUGAAACAGUAUACCAGCAACAUUUAAAAAGGGAAAGAAAUCAUCGAGUACUACCUCCGUCACCUCGAAGAGGAGGGCAUCACCUUCCAUCGGGCCUGCCUCGGAGACGUCCUCGUCCAGCAAGAGUCAGGCGGCCUCCUCGGCUCUCAAGGAGGGGCUGGGCGGAGAGGCCCUCUGCAACCCUGGCAGGACCCCCGAGCCUGCGGUGGGAACCCCUGACGACAAACUCGACGCAGACUACAUCAAGAGGUACCUGGGGGACCUGACCCCAUACUCCAGGAGAACUGCCUUAUCCGACUUCACCAGUGGCUCCAGGAAACCCACAAGGGCAAAGUGAGUAUUGACUCCCACCCGGCAGCCCCGCCACCUCUGGUCCUGUGGGAGGUUCCUGAGGGGGAACACUCCUGACUGCUGCAGCUGAGACGGUCCUCCUGCGUGUGUGUCCCCACUGCCCUCUCAGCAGGUUCACUGCCUUCCCUGUGUGCACGGCGGCUGCGUUUCUGUGCGCUGUCACUUAGGUUGGUCUACCUCAGAAACAAUAGGUCAUCAAGUGGCAGAGUAGCACAGUGUUCCAGAUAUUCAUGCUUUUUAAUUUUGAAAAGUUUGGAAGGAGGUCACAACUUUAUCCAAGAUUAGAAAUGUUUGAGCUUUAAUUCUGAGGUUUUAUAUGAAAUCAUAGCCUCAUAAGAAAUUUGGUUUUAAUAACAAGCUUUGUGCGGCAAGCACAAACCUGGCUAGUCAUCAGUGAAGGGAAGCUGGGGCCUACAUGAAGCUGUCCUGGUCUCUGAUUCUGUCAGUCCUGGUUGCUGUGAACAGAUACCCAAGAGCUUCUCAGCACCAGUCAUUAGGAGAACAGCCUCAGGAAAAGAGCUUGCUCUUGAUGUCUGCUGAGAUGGGUGAGACAUGCUUUCAGCUCCUCAGGUAGUCUUCCCAAAAGGCCUGGAGGUGGUGCCCUUCCAUUACCUCCUUCUUUCAAGUGUGCAGAAACCGAAGCACAGAGAAGUUGAGCUCAGGGUCUUAAGCUAGGAAGUGAUAGGGCCAAGAUUUGAACCAAGACCAUGUGGUUCCAGUACCAUAUUCCUGUUUAUUUGGUACAGGUGGUUGAACUCAGGGGUGCUCUUCCACUGAGCCAAGUCCCCAGCCCUUCUAUUUUUUGUUUUGAGACAGGGUCUUCCUAAGUUGCUAAGGGCCUUGCUAAGUUCCUGAGGCUGGCCACGAUCCUCCUGACUCAGCCUCCCAAGUCACUGGGUUUACAGGCAGGCAUGCUCCCACAUUCUUAACCACUUCCAUGUGCCUGUGGUCCUUUCUGAGUGACCCUGUGCUUUGUUUAUGUUCCAAGGAGUGGGGUACCAUGCAGGCUUUUGCUCCCACUCACUUCUUGGUCUCUGGAUGUUCUAGCCACCCACAUUAGCGAGCAGGUGAUCACGGAGGUGAGAGACCUGGUCCGGAUGAGACUUGGAUCAUGGUCUCAGCCUUCUUUAUUCAGGUGGCCAGCCUGAUCAACAGGAUCUUGAGGUCCCUGCGUGUCAGCAGCACCCCCACACUGCCAAUCCCAGCAUGGUUUCCUUGCAGCUCUUAAUGAAGUCUACUUGCAGAAGUGCACAGAAGUACAUCAGCACAUAGAUUUGAAGUGUUGCCUCUGUUUAAUAAAUCAUGCCUUCACACUGCCCAAACUGAAAUGGAGCACUAGGAAGGUUACUCAUGAUCCCAAAGGAUGAGCAUAUUCGGUUCUUACGUGCUCGGGACUUUAAUAUUGACGAGGCCAGAGAGAUCAUGUGUCAGUCUUUGAUGUGGCAGAAGCAGCACCAGCUGGACUACAUCCUGGACACCUGGACCCCGCCCCAGGUGCUGCAGGAUUACUACGCGGGAGGAAGGCAGCACCACGACAAAGGUAGGCACGCACGCGUCCACAUCUUCACUGCCUGGUCUCUGGGGCAUCCUGAGGGCUCUGCCAGACCAGAGGGCCUUGCUGGGGGCGUUGCCCUCCUCUCUCAGGACCUGGGAGCUUUCCCCAGUGUGAGUCAGCUGGUGAGACUCCCUGGCACACUCCUGUCCCACCUGGGCAGCCAAGGGAGGGCCACGAUGCUUCCUUCCCCGCGGUGCCCUGGGACAGUGGCUUCCCUUCCUUUCUCAAGAGUCUGUUUUGACCUGUUAAAAACUCAAAUGUUGGUGGCAGAGUGUUUUCAGCAGCACUGUGCUAAUAAAGGAAUUUAAUGACUUAAGCCCAUACAAUACCUGGAAAAUGUCCAGCCAGGUCUCCACAUCAAGUAGUAAAGGACUGCAGUUUUUCUCCAGGGAGUACGUGGAGCAUGGACCUGGGACAAGCAGCUCUUGAAGUGGAGGUGGCCUCCCUUCACGUGCUGGCCCUGUGGAGUGCCUGCCUCGCAGAGCUGCUCCUUCCCCCCAGGCUGGAGGUUGGUGGCUGGCAGUCAAUCACAGACAUUGAGGGAGGCUGCCGGGGUUGCUGUGGAACUGGCUUUCCCUCCUGCCUCUGAACAAGUCCUUUCAAAACUGUAAUGUUCCGUCUGUCUUGUUUUCCUAAUCGACUGUCUUUACUUAUUUAUUUGUACUGGGGAUUGAACCCAGAGGUGCUUUACACUGAGCUACAUCUCCAGCCCUUUUUAUUUUAUUUUGAGACGAUCCCUCACUAACUUGCUGAGGCCGGCCUCAAACUUAUGAUCCUCCUGCCUCACCCUCCCAAAUCACUGGUGUGCCACCUCACCCAAAUUGUUUUUCUCCAAAGUGACUGUAGCUUUAUUGAUUUUAACUAGAAACAUUUAUAUUUUUUUCACCAUGUGACCUGAACCUUAAAAGGUUAAAAAGUUUGGUAGUAAGACAUUGACAGAUGUGUCCUAUUAAAUGUUGGAAGAGGAACCAAGUGUGGUAGUACACACCUGUGAUUCCAGCAAAUUGGUAGACUAAGGCAGGAGGAUUGCAAGUUCAAGGCCAGACUCAUCAGCUUAACAAGACUGACUCAAAAAGAAGAAAGGCCUGUGGCUGUAACUCAGUGACAGAGUGCCCUAGGUUCAGUCCACCAAUACCACCCAAAAGUAAAAUGUUGGUAGCAACAUUUUGUAGAUUUGGUUUUCUACAAGAGGGGGCACAGAAAACAUUUUGCUCUAUGUAAACAGACCUAGAGCCAGCUUCUCCCUGGAGGCAAAGUUUGCUUCUGAAGGAUACAUGGCAGAUGCCAGCCUCCACGCAGGAUGAUUCUACUCCGCUCCCUUCACACCACGUGACCGCAGUCUAAGGGGUGCCAGCUGGUGGAUAUACUGUGGCCCCAGGAUCAUCUUCCCUGUGUGGCUGGCCAGUGAUGACAGGGUUAUGUGACGAGUUAGGUUCCUCUCAGGCUCUGUUAGUUCUCUAGGUUGUGGAGGUCUAGAGCCAACGUGCUGAUUGGUGUACACUUAAAGGAUGUUUUGGAUUUAAAGAGUGGAAAUUGAAUAGGAAAAAAUUUUUUAAAAAAUUUAUUACUGUCACAAAAAAAACAAUGAAAAAAUUUUCAAUACCACUUAUUACUUUACUAAAAUUACUCUGAAAUAUUCACAUUUUUCCUGUUCCCAAAUGAAAUUGAUGUGUACUUAGAAUUAAAAAAAAAGUGGAAAUUGAGGAAGACUAACUUUUAAAAAAUCUUAUUGAUUUAUUAGCAACCCAUUGAUUCUUGAACCCUGCCUCCCACAAGAUAAGCAGAAGUCCUGAUACUGCAAAUAUGACUAUUUGCUCUUUGGGUCUGUGCAGAUGUCAUAAAAUGAAGAUGGGGUCCUCCUGGGUAAGGGUGGGUCCUAGUUCAAUUCCUGGAUCAUGAGAAGAGGAAAGUUGGAUAGAGAUGGGGUGAUGUAGCCAGAACCAAGGACUGUUAAGAGUUGCUGGGAGCCACAGGAGCUGAAAGAGACAGGAUGACUGCAUAGGCUGUGUGUCCUUGAAGUUGACACUGAUGGAGAGUAUUUUUUGAAAUUGUUUUCUUUCAGCAGACUCAGUUUUACCAAAUAGUAUUUUUUUAAAAAGACACUAAUAAUAACUCACAAGUGGUUCAAAUUAAUAAUAUAUUACAUAAAGUGCCUAAUUUAGUGUUUUGUACAUUGAUGUCAAAGUAUAAGGUUUUUUUAGAUGAAUUUAGUUAUAUACUUAAUAGUAUUGAGUUGUGAUUGUAGCUCCAAUAAGGCUUUUUAAAUGGAACUUAUGUAUAUUUAAUAAUAUUUUUUGUAAUAACAGUAAUAUUAUAGUUAGUCAAACAUCAACAAAUAAGUUGCUACUGAGCUACAAAUAUUUUGUACAAAUACUUAGUUUUAGGUAUAUAUGCUCAAAAAUCAACAUCUGGUAAGAUAUUUUGUGUUAAGAAAAAUUAAAAAGCAAUAAAUAAUGUGAAACUGUAAAUCCCAUCCAUUUGUUUGAUUAGCAAGGGAAAUAAAAUUCUAUGUAGCAUAAAAUAUUUAAAAAAAUUUUUUGCAGUUGUAGAUGGACAGAGUGUCUUUAGUUUAUUUGUUUAUUUUUAUGUGGUGCUAAGGAUUGCUCCCAGUGCCUCACAUAAAUAAAAAUUUUAACCCUUUAUAAUUGUCAUUUUAAAUAUAUAACUCUUGUUACAAAGGAGAUGUCCUGAACUCACUAACUGUUAAAAAAAAAUAGAUUAUGUAUUUACAGUGUUUUCGAUUCACAGGAUCAGAACCUCAUGGCCUGAGCAAAUUUUACCUAUAAUUUACAUUAGACUUAGUAUUCUGAACAGCACUUAUUACCCUAUCAGACAUAAUAGCUAAACAAACUUGUUGCAUAUGAUCAGUACUUUUUGAGGAUUGUAGACUUAGCCUCUCCACUUCUAAAACUCUGUGGUUUGCACUUCCAUAUGUUUACUCUUAAAAUACAAAUUACAUGAACUUUCUCCAUCAUGUUUCUACCUUUCCAAAUUGUUGUCUGCAUUUCCCCUCAGAAAUAACUUUUUAAACUCUGUACCUAAUUACUAAAAUAUUUACUUAAAUUUAUUCAAAAAUUGCCUUUAAGGAUCAGAAUUCAAAUUUUUUAAGUUUUGGAGAUUAAAUUUUAUAUAUUAAAAAUAUUUAUUUUUAUUCAUUGAUUUAUUUAUAUAUCUGUGAAAUAGUCACAGCAAUCAAGGUAAUAAAUAGGUGUAUCACCUCUCAUACUCUUUUAUUGUUGUUUUUACUGUUUUGGGAUAUUUUGUUUUUGAUUUUGGUGAUAAAAACACUAUCUAGUGGCUUACUUUCUUAAAAAAUUUUUAAGGGCACUAUAUAGUUUUGUUCACUAUUGGAAUACCAUAGUUCAGGAGAUCUCCAGAACAUAUUCAUCUUUCAUAAGUGUCUAUUACACUGAACAGGUCUCCAUCAAUGUGACACAACAUUCACAGAAAGAAGAAUAAAAUCUCAUGAUCAUCCUAACAUUUAAAUAACAUUUGACAAAAUUCAAUACUGUUGAUGGAUUAAGACAUUCAGUGAAUGAAGUUUAAAAGGAAUAAACACAAUAAAGGUCACAUGUGAAAACUCAUAGCUAACCUCACACUCAAAGGUGAAAAGAUGAAUGCUUUACCCUAGAUGAUCAGGAAAAAGUAAGAAUGCCCACUCUUACAUCUUCCAUUUAACAUAGAACAGGAUAUUCUAACCAAAAAAGUGGACAAGGAAAAGAAAAGGCAUCCAAAGUGCAAGAAAAAACAAAAUUAUCCCUGCUUGCUGAUGAAAUGAUCUUCUCAAUGUCCUUCAAGAACUUGCAUACAUAUAUAUGUAUGUAUGUGUGUGUGUGUGUGUGUGUGUGUGUGUGUGAUCAAACUGGUACAGGCAUGCCUUAGCAUUGGAUGUUACAUGAAAAUGUGAAUUUAAGAAAAUGUUGUCACAUUGAUCACCACAUGCAGGAGGUUGUCUUUUAGAGUAAUAAGAGGAUAAACUAAUUCAAUUAAAUUGCCUAUCUAAUUUGAAAAUUCAUAAUUAAAUUAGAUCAUUAUAGUAACAAGAAUGUUGAUGAUGACAAAGCUGAGUGCCAUACCUGGAAUUGAACUUUCUCAGGGCUGUCUAGUCUAUACACAGAACACAGUGCUUCCAUCUGUUCUAUUUUACUAAUUUCCCAUGUGGGUGUGUUAUGCUGGUAUAUGCAAAUAAAUUUUGGGUUAAUAUAAAUGUUAUCUUCAACUUAGCUCCAAAUUUUAUUUUUCACAACUGCUUCAAAUAAAGAAAAUGAAGGUAACAUUUAGGAAGGGAAGAAAAUAUUUCCUUCUUUUAUAGGAAGGCUUCACUCACAGAAACUAAAUUAAAAACUGAAAUUUAUUUGAUUUACUUUGUAUUUCUGGGAAUCUGUAAUCACCCUCUGCCUUUUUGGGAAUAUGGUUUUUGACAGCUUUGUUUUCUAGUUGAUUCUUUACUGUUGAAAGGCUUAUGUACAUUUUUCUCUAAUGUGUUUUCCAAUAGAGAAUGCAAUAAAUUCCCUGGCAAAUA